AACGUAGGUGGCGAGCGUUAUCCGGAUUUACUGGGCGUAAAGGGUGUGCAGGCGGGCUGUUAAGUGGUGUAUGAAAUAUCCCGGCUCAACCGGGAGAGGUUAUGCCAGACUGGCAGUCUAGAGAGCGAGAGAGGGACGUGGAAUUCCGGGUGUAGUGGUGAAAUGCGUAGAGAUCCGGAGGAACCCCAGAGGCGAAGGCGGCGUCCUGGCUCGCAUCUGACGCUCAGGCGCGACAGCGUGGGGAUCAAACAGG
rnacentral:rRNA from 1 species